AUCACGAGCUCGAGUAAUACGUUCAGCCAUCUUGGCGGCCGUCGCAGCAUGAGGACAACGAACAGUGGUUUUAUCGACUUCCUCUCUCGUAAUUUUAUUGAGGAAUUUCAGAUAUUCAGCGGUUAUAGGAGAUUCAAAUGUAUCAUCCUCUGGGUCCAAUAUGGCGGAAGAAGCGGUUUCGUGCAAUGGAAUGGCUAUUUUGCCUACACUGGAAACAAAGGCAACGAUUUCGACACCAUAAGCUUCUAAGAGAUACUUUUCAGCAAUUGCACCAGCCGCGACUCGUCCAAUGGUUUCACGGGCACUGGAUCGACCACCACCCGAAGAUGCCUUGACACCGUAUUUCUCCAAGUAGGUAUAAUCAGCGUGAGAAGGACGAGGGUAGUUGUCCAUAUCGGAAUAAUCGUGUGGUUUCUGAUCUUGGUUUAGAACCAGCAUUCCAAUCGGAGUUCCCAGAGUCACGCCAAACUCCGUACCGCUUUGAAUUUGAACUUUGUCUUUUUCAUUACGAGGAGUCGUCAAAUUAGACUGUCCAGGGCGUCGACGCGUAAGUUGAACCUGAACAUCACUUUCCGUCAAAUUCAUUCCUGGAGGACAUCCCUCGACGAUGCAUCCUACACUUUUGCAGUGCGAUUCGCCAUAUGUAGUAACUUUAAACAAAGUGCCGAAGGAAGACAUACUUUACAACACAAAUCUGGAUAAAAUAAACCUCCCUGACAAUAUCAAAUUCCUUAAAAAAAUACCCUACUGCCGACUAAAUAAGAUAUGCCACAAAUCUAGUUGACUGUUUUACCAAUCCCUUUUUUUUUUGUUUAGGCAAAAGACAGCUAAUUGGCAGCGCAAAGAAACGCAGCUUUAGUGCUGUGAAGAUUGUGAGUUGUAUCACAACAAUUUUACUUGCACAUACAGACUUCAAUUUCAAUUACCUUAUCUACUAUUUAUUGCAAUUUAUCCUGUAUACCUUUACCUUGCGCUAUGUUUAUGAUUAUGAACUUUUGCUAGAUUGCGUUAAUCGCUACAGUUUAUGAAUCAACGGGAAUGUUUAGGAAGGGAAAUCACAAAUCUCGUGAUUUUUCAUCGAUAAUCCUAUCUCUAUUUUUAUAAUACGGACAACUCUACUUUACGGAUUGCUAUAUAAACUGUUCUUAUAUUGCGCGCAUGGUAUCUCGAAGUAAACAAUCACAUCUUCUGACUCCGGUCUACUUUAUAAGUUUUAUCUUACCAGGUGUAAAACCAUAGACAUAUUGUAAUGUAAGCUAAGGCGAUUUCAAGUAUUAAACGCCUUGGUUUUUAUUAAGAUUGAUUAAAUAAUAAAGUUCGAAGGUAUGCUAAUCAAAUUCGGUUCAUUUUUGCGGAACAACAGGCAUUUCGCGAUGCAAUAAACAAAGAGGUAUUACAUAUGCGUAUAAACAUUUAAACAUAAAUAUGUGUCCAUCCAUAUGCUUUAGUAAGACGGAAGGGAUUGGUGAAGCAUCUUUAGCUUUAGAUUAUGAAUGAAUAUCACAAAAGCUCGGGACGUGUUUUUUUUUUCAAAUAAUAAAUAAACAAGAGUAAGAGAAAGAAACAUUAAAUAGCUUCUCUCGUCUUAAAUGCCAAAAGAACUUGAGAGAAGCUUUCGAAAAUAAACAGGAAAUAAAAAAAAUGAAAAAUAUUUUAAGUAAUUAAGAAUUAAUAAAAAGAAUAGAAAUCCGACCUUCCAGAAGUUAUAAACAAUGACAAAGGAGCAUACUAUAUAAAAGUACAACACCCACUAAAAUCAAUCCCCUCCACGGCUUUCAUCGAUUGAUUAAUCCAAGCUAUGUUGUUGCUCAUUUCUUGUGCUCUGUUGCAAUGUUUAUCACUCAAAUAAUUAAAUAAGAAUAAGAACUUAUACAAUAAAUAACGUGUCAAGCAAAAUCUCCUCUUUUAAGAAAAAGAAUUGCUGACCGAGUAGAGACAUUCCAUAACACUAACAUCGUUUUACGAAAAAGAUACUUUCGGUUAAUCAAGGGCGAAAACCAUGUUUACUUGAAUUAGGCUUCUGACGAGGAUGUUCCUCCGCAUCAACAUUAACCAUUAUAGAAUAGAAAUAUUAGUAACAAACCUUUAUGCAAAAAGCUAACCGUCCGAAUUUCAACUAUGCAAACCAAUAAUAUAA